rnacentral:rRNA from 1 species
CAGUAGCCACGGUAAUAUGUAGGUGGCAAGCGUUGUCCGGAAUUAUUGGGCGUAAAGCGCGCGCAGGCGGAUAGGUCAGUCUGUCUUAAAAGUUCGGGGCUUAACCCCGUGAUGGGAUGGAAACUGCCAAUCUAGAGUAUCGGAGAGGAAAGUGGAAUUCCUAGUGUAGCGGUGAAAUGCGUAGAUAUUAGGAAGAACACCAGUGGCGAAGGCGACUUUCUGGACGAAAACUGACGCUGAGGCGCGAAAGCCAGGGGAGCGAACGGGAUUAGAUACCCCCGUAGUCCCUGUCUCUUAUACA